rnacentral:lncRNA from 1 species
CGGAUCUGCCGCCCCAACAGCAAAACUUGACGCCUGCAGAGCCUCCGACCAGCGACCCGACGCCUCCGCCGUGCUGCUCUGCCGUAUCCGACCCGACGCCAACAGCAAAAAAAACCAGCACUGGCGCCUGCUGCAGCCACAGCCCGACCCCGAUCCUCUGCCCGAGCCCGAGUCGAGUUGCUCCGCUAUCUGCCCGAGCCCGAGCCGCCUAGCUCCGUCUCUGCUCCGACGCACCGCCGCUCUGCUGUGCCCUCGCCGGAGCUCUGACGCC